UUAGAUUGGUUUAAAAGUAAUUGUAAUUUUUGCCAUUGAAAGUAAUGGCAAAAACCACAAUUACUUUGGCACCAACCUAGUAA
rnacentral:miRNA from 1 species